rnacentral:rRNA from 1 species
CAGCCGCCUCGGUAAUACCGGCGGCCCGAGUGGCGGUCACUAUUAUUGGGCUUAAAGCGUCCGUAGCCGGGUUGGGAAGUCCUCCGGGAAAUCUGGCCGCUUAACGGUCAGAAUGCCGGAGGAUACUCCCAGCCUAGGGAGCGGGAGAGGCCGAGGGGAUUCCCGGAGUAGGGGGGAAAUCCUAUAAUCCCGGGAGGACCACCUGUGGCGAAGGCGCUCGGCUGGAACGCGUCCGACGGUGAGGGACGAAGGCCAGGGGAGCAAACCGGAUUAGAUACCCGGGUAGUCCUGGCUGUAAACGAUGCGGACUUUGUGUCGGACAAGCUAUGAGCUUGUCCGGUGCCGGAGGGAAACCGUUAAGUCCGCCGCCUGGGGAGUACGGCCGCAAGGCUGAAACUUAAAGGAAUUGGCGGG